AUUGAACGCUGGCGGCAUGCUUUACACAUGCAAGUCGAACGGUAACAGGCCUUCGGGUGCUGACGAGUGGCGAACGGGUGCGUAAUGCAUCGGAACGUGCCCAGAGGUGGGGGAUAACGCAGCGAAAGCUGUGCUAAUACCGCAUGUGAUCUGAGGAUGAAAGCGGGGGACCAAGCAGCAAUGUUUGGCCUCGCGCCUCUGGAGCGGCCGAUGUCAGAUUAGGUAGUUGGUGGGGUAAAGGCCUACCAAGCCGACGAUCCGUAGCUGGUCUGAGAGGACGACCAGCCACACUGGGACUGAGACACGGCCCAGACUCCUACGGGAGGCAGCAGUGGGGAAUUUUGGACAAUGGGCGCAAGCCUGAUCCAGCAAUGCCGCGUGCGGGAAGAAGGCCUUCGGGUUGUAAACCGCUUUUGUACGGAACGAAAAGGCUCUGGCUAAUACCUGGGGCUGAUGACGGUACCGUAAGAAUAAGCACCGGCUAACUACGUG
rnacentral:rRNA from 1 species